rnacentral:lncRNA from 1 species
GAGCCAGAAGAAUGCGCAAUCAUGAGGGAACAGCUGUUGCUUUGCGAGAUCCCCCCUCCACUCUUUGCAGUCAAAGUCUCAUGAUCGAGGGUGAACCUAAUACCGUUAUUCUCAAAACACACUUCAGCCAGAAGGUCUACUCUGACACCAAACAAGCCAGCAUGUCCCUCACCAGGGCCCUGGUCCCAGUGGAGAGAGAUGCAUCCCAUACUGUCUGACCAGGUCAUUUGGCAAGCUGGAGAUCAACAAGAACUCACCAGAGGGAGACAGCACAGUCAACCAGCAUCGGGUGUGACUCCCUCCUGGAGGCCAUAGAAGGGCCAGGCUAGGUUGGUGCAGAUGGUAGUCCAGAGGGUUUACGUUACCCCUGGCAGUUCCCGCUCCAUAAAGGCAAAAGCAGAGCAUUCUUCCAUCACAUGUACAGCUGAUAAUCAAGAUCUUGCACACUAAUGAGAUGCUAUUGAGCCCACACGACUACACUGUCUGAGCCAAGGACUACAUGCUUUCUGCUGUUACAGAACUACCCACCAAACUCGGACCAAGCAGCGGAGGAACGAGGAAGAAGGAUGGACGUGGGCGGAGAUGAGGAUGAGCAUUUCCAGGGCUAUGGAUGAGUUAAGUAAACCCGAGAGGCAGCUCCAAUAAUUUUUUUGGGGGGGGCACAAGGGCAGUUUUGCAGGGCGAGGAUGGAGCCCCAGGCCAGCUCCCCGCACUAGCCCUGAGGUGCGUCAGCCCAGUCUGACUCGGCCUGUUCCCGCUCCCUGCACUAGCCCUAAGGUGCGUGUGCCCAGACUGGCACAUCCUGUACCAG